rnacentral:rRNA from 1 species
UGGGGAAUAUUGGACAAUGGGGGCAACCCUGAUCCAGCAAUGCCGCGUGUGUGAAGAAGGUCUUCGGAUUGUAAAGCACUUUCGACGGGGACGAUGAUGACGGUACCCGUAGAAGAAGCCCCGGCUAACUUCGUGCCAGCAGCCGCGGUAAUACGAAGGGGGCUAGCGUUGCUCGGAAUGACUGGGCGUAAAGGGCGUGUAGGCGGUUUACACAGUCAGACGUGAAAUCCCCGGGCUUAACCUGGGAGCUGCAUUUGAUACGUGUAGACUAGAGUGUGAGAGAGGGUUGUGGAAUUCCCAGUGUAGAGGUGAAAUUCGUAGAUAUUGGGAAGAACACCGGUGGCGAAGGCGGCAACCUGGCUCAUGACUGACGCUGAGGCGCGAAAGCGUGGGGAGCAAACAGGAUUAGAUACCCUGGUAGUCCACGCUGUAAACGAUGUGUGCUAGAUGUUGGGUAACUUUGUUAUUCAGUGUCGCAGUUAACGCGUUAAGCACACCGCCUGGGGAGUACGGCCGCAAGGUUGA